rnacentral:rRNA from 1 species
AUUGAACGCUGGCGGAAUGCUUUACACAUGUAAGUCGAACGGUAGAGGGGGCAACCCCUCGAGAGUGGCGAACGGGUGAGUAAUAUAUCGGAACGUGCCCAGUCGUGGGGGAUAACGUAGCGAAAGUUACGCUAAUACCGCAUACGAUCUAAGGAUGAAAGCGGGGGAUCGCAAGACCUCGCGCGAUUGGAGCGGCCGAUAUCAGAUUAGGUAGUUGGUGGGGUAAAGGCUCACCAAGCCAACGAUCUGUAGCUGGUCUGAGAGGACGACCAGCCACACUGGAACUGAGACACGGUCCAGACUCCUACGGGAGUCAGCAGUGGGGAAUUUUGGACAAUGGACGCAAGUCUGAUCCAGCCAUUCCGCGUGCAGGAUGAAGGCCCUCGGGUUGUAAACUGCUUUUGUACGGAACGAAAAGGUCUCUCUUAAUACGGGGGACUCAUGACGGUACCGUAAAAAUAAGCACCGGCUAACUACGUGCCAGCCGCCGCCGUAAAAC